UUUUAUUGCCCUUUCAUCAGGAGUCAAGACAUGGGAAUACAUAGUCAUUUUGCCUCUCCAUUUUGCUUGUAUCACUAUUAAAUUUCUAAUGUUUCAUUUAUCUAAAGAGUUUUUAAUCCCUGACUACUCCUAUGAAUGAAUCUUUUUUCUUUGAUUGGUUCUUCAACCCUUAAUAGUUGCUAAACAAUUGUAGCCUCUCUCUCAGUUUUGAGCUCUUGCUAUGGAGGAAAGGACAAUAAGAACUCUCUUUCUAAGUUCUCAUCCUUUGAUCAUGUGAAUAUAUUAAUCUUUGGCUUACAUAAUAUGAUUUCUUUUCCAUGAGAAUAUCAAAUUACUAGUUGUGUUAGUGUUGUUAUGGUUACAUUUUCACUGUGUUAUGUUUACACUUUAGACCCAUUAGCAUGAUUUAAUUUGCAGGUGGUACAACCUUAAAGCUUUUCCAUGUGCCAAUCGGUUGAUAAAGCAUUUGAGUAGUAAUGGGGUUCCAAUGGCUUUGGCUUCAAACCCACCAAAAUUGAACAUGGAAGGCAAAAUUUCUGACCACCAUGGUAUUUGCACGCUUAAAACAAGAAGAAUGUUUUUGAUCCUCUAUGUAAAUCCAGUAACCUGACUAAUUGCUAAUUAUAGUGCCUCUUUCUAGUUUAUUGGUUUUUUGUGUCUUGUCGCAGGAUGGAAAGAGUCCUUUUUAGCCAUUGUUGGUGGAGAUGACGUUAUAAAUGGAAAGCAAUCACCUGAUAUAUUUCCUGAAGCUGCUAAAAGGAUUAACACUGAACCAUCAAACUGCCUAGUGAUUGAAGACUCACUAAAAUGUUGCAGGUAAACGACCCGGCUUAACUACCAAUACUCCGCGAGAGCUGCCUAGAAAGCCUACAGCUUCGCAUACUACUGUCUAAGACAGAAUCCAAAGGCGAGACCCCUCAUGAGUGAUGUUGUGGAGACUCUUGAGCCCUUACAAUGCAGUAGUGCAAGUGAAGUCUCAGCUCAUACACCAAUUCUUGACAGUCUUUUUGACUAAAAAAAUAUUUUGUAAUAAAAAUAGAUAAAUAGUGUAAAAAAUUUUACAUUUUGAUUAAUACACUUGAGCUCAUUAAUUGUCAAUAAAAACCAAUGAAAUUAAAAUUAGAAA